GAUGAACGCUAGCUACAGGCUUAACACAUGCAAGUCGAGGGGCAUCAGUUUGGUUUGCUUGCAAACCAAAGCUGGCGACCGGCGCACGGGUGAGUAACACGUAUCCAACCUGCCUCAUACUCGGGGAUAGCCUUUCGAAAGAAAGAUUAAUAUCCGAUAGCAUAUAUUUCCCGCAUGGGUUUUAUAUUAAAGAUUUAUCGGUGAUGGAUGGGGAUGCGUCUGAUUAGCUUGUUGGCGGGGUAACGGCCCACCAAGGCGACGAUCAGUAGGGGUUCUGAGAGGAAGGUCCCCCCACAUUGGAACUGAGACACGGUCCAAAACUCCUAACGGGAGGCAGCAGUGAGGAAUAUUGGUCAAUGGACGAGAGUCUGAACCAGCCAAGUAGCGUGCAGGAUGACGGCCCUAUGGGUUGUAAACUGCUUUUAUAAGGGAUAAAGUGAGUCUCGUGAGACUUUUUGCUAUGUACCUUAUGAAUAAGGACCGGCUAAUUCCGUGCCAGCAGCCG
rnacentral:rRNA from 1 species